ACUUGAAAUCUCCGAUGCUUGCAUCGGCGAGUUGUAGUUGCGAGAAGCACUUUCUAGGUGGAUCGGCGGUGCCUAAGUUGCUUGGAACAGCAGGUCGCAGAGGGUGACAACCCCGUCUGUGGCGCCGCCGGCCGCUGACGAUGUGCUUUCGAAGAGUCGGGUUGUUUGGGAAUGCAGCCCAAAAUGGGUGGUAAACUCCAUCUAAAGCUAAAUACUGGCGUGAGACCGAUAGCGAACAAGUACCGUGAGGGAAAGAUGAAAAGAACUUUGAAAAGAGAGUUAAAAAGUACGUGAAACCGUUGAAAUGGAAACGAAUGGGCUCAGCAAUGCGCCGUUUGAGAUUCAGCCGGUGGGUGGGAUCGACGGCGGGUUUGCGGAUCUGAAUGGACCGCGGCCCGGUGCUCGUUUCUCCCCACCGUCGCACUUCUCUUGGGCGCGCGUCAACGUCGGUUGGGACUGGGUCUGAAAGGUACCGGGAAGGUAGGUGUGGGCCUCCGGGUCCGUGCUGUUACAGCCCGGUUCUCUCAUGGCUCGGGCCCGACCGAGGAGUUGCAGGGCAUGCCUCCUGUGGCUAGGGUCCCCUCCCUCCGGCCGGCUGUCCAAUGCGGUGGACUGCUUGCAGUGCUCGGCGAACGCUGCCGGUCGUUGGGGUGGUGAUCUCGUACCAUGCCCUUAGGAUGUUGGCGGUCAUAUGGGUGCAUCCGACCCGUCUUGAAACACGGACCAAGGAGUCUAACAUGUGCGCGAGUCUUAGGGUGAGUGAAACCCCGAGGCGCAAUGAAAGUGAAGGCGGCCCCGGCCGCUGAGGUGAGAUCCGCUGUUGUGGCGGCGCAUCAUCGACCGACCUAUUCUACUCUUAGGAAGGUUUGAGUAAGA
rnacentral:rRNA from 1 species